AAUUAUAAUUGCAAGUGGGAGAAAGAAAAGCUUACCUGGUUUGCUGGAGAUGAAGCCGAUGGCGAUGGUGCACUGGGCCAAAAAUAUCAAAUCUCAUCCAUAUCUUCUGGGGAUGGCGAUGAAGAUCAUUACUAUUUUUGCUCCGUGUUUGGGUGGAAUGAAAACACCAACAGUCCUGCCAUUGUGGGACUGUUGGUGAUUAACUUUAUCCUAGCGCCAGAGGCGCAUCGUAGGGAUGAAGGGAACUGAAACACCUGUGCGAUUUGUGGUAGACAACCCGGUCUGUGAUUUUGGGUUGGAUUUGGUGAGAUUAGUGAAGAGAUUGGGUCUGGCCGAUGCCAUUCUUAGCAAUUUUCUCGCACAAUUUUUCCUCUGUUACGGAAGGAAGGGGAGAAUGAACAGUUGACUUAAAAACGGCGUCGUUUACUCGGCUGAAAUGUCUAUCUUCAAUUGCCCCUGAAGUUCUGACAUUUAGCAAUUAGCGCCUUAUUCAUCGAAAUAUUCCUCUCUUUUUUAAUUUCACCUGUGGAUCAAUUGUAAUUGGACCCUGAAUUUUAGUGUCAUUUACACAA